rfam:Oryza sativa Japonica Group DNA, chromosome 6, cultivar: Nipponbare, complete sequence.
AAAAAGAUAAACCCUAGGUUUUCGUGCCAACGUUUGACUGUCCGUCUUAUAUGAUAAAACAUGAUUAAUAUUUUAUGCGUGACUUAUUUUUUUAAUUUUUUUCAUAAUUUUUCAAAUAAGACGGACGGUCAAACGUUGGACACGGAAUAGGGUUUGUCUUUUU